AUUGAACGCUGGCGGAAUGCUUUACACAUGCAAGUCGAACGGCAGCACGGGGGUAACCCUGGUGGCGAGUGGCGAACGGGUGAGUAAUACAUCGGAACGUGCCCAAUCGUGGGGGAUAACGUAGCGAAAGCUACGCUAAUACCGCAUACGAUCUACGGAUGAAAGCGGGGGAUCGCAAGACCUCGCGCGAAUGGAGCGGCCGAUGGCAGAUUAGGUAGUUGGUGGGGUAAAGGCUCACCAAGCCAACGAUCUGUAGCUGGUCUGAGAGGACGACCAGCCACACUGGGACUGAGACACGGUCCAGACUCCUACGGGAGGCAGCAGUGGGGAAUUUUGGACAAUGGGCGCAAGCCUGAUCCAGCCAUUCCGCGUGCAGGAUGAAGGCCUUCGGGUUGUAAACUGCUUUUGUACGGAACGAAACGGCCCUUUCUAAUACAGAGGGCUAAUGACGGUACCGUAAGAAUAAGCACCGGCUAACUACGUGCCAGCCGCCGCAGUAA
rnacentral:rRNA from 1 species